rnacentral:lncRNA from 1 species
GCAAAGCAGCCUCCAAAGCCAUAACACAUGAAAUCAUAUCAUCUUUUGAGGGAGGAGGAAGAGGAGGAGAAGAUGGCAGCUGUUGAUCAACGGUAUGCUGGUUGUCAGCUACUUGGCGAUCACCCAUUUGCGAAUUUUAGCCUGGUAAGGGAAAGACGAGAUCAUGAACAUGAUAUAAAAUGAAAUGAAUGCUUGUUAAUUGUUAAGGCUUCAUUUUUCAUGCCAGUAAAGUUUUAAAUAUUAAGUGGUUUGGCCUUUGCUUUUCCUCUACCUAUUAGUAUAAAUUGUCUAUCUACCCUCCUUGCCCAUUCUUUUGCAAGUAUUCUCCACAUAUGCCCUAAUUUGAAAGCAAAAUUGCAUUGUUUAGAGUUUGACACUUUGUCUCUCUAUGAUUAAUCAAGCAUCUUAGAGAGACAUAAAGAUACUCUUUUAAAACCAACAUUGGCGAAGAGACCAAUCAACUAACUAAUUGAAGGGUAGCAUUUAAAAUGUCAUGAAUGAAUUUGGGUGAAAUCAAAACAGUAGCAAAGUGCAGAUCGAAUUAAAGUUGUAUGCAUUACGAUUACGAAAAUAGAUAGAUUGAUGAUUAGAUAAAAUUAGUGAAUUUGGAUUAAUUAUUUAAUGAGAUAAACUCACAGAUCGAUAUGCUCCGAGUGAGGUUCAGCAGCAGAGCUCCGGCGACAAAUCGGACACGGUAACGAUUCGUUGACCAGAAGAAGAAAUAGCUACGAUUGCUAAUCAGAACUGAGAAGAGAGACUGCGAAGAAGAAUCGAGGGAAUAACAAGAACAAGACAGGGGUAAAAUAGGUAUUUCUCAUGGUUCGCUCAUCACUAUCCACCUCGACAAACAAACCUCAUUACGACCGAAACUAAACUGCUUAGUGGUUUGCUUUUUAAGAUAUUUUUGUUAUAUUUACAUAUAAAAAAAAAUUCAUUUUUAGUUCUAAGAGAUUUUUUUUUAGGGAAGUUCUAAGAGAUUAUGCAUACAUAUUUUGACGAAAGGAGAAAAUUUAGGUAUAAUUCCUUAGUUGCUUUUCGUAUGGUUCUUAACUAAAAAUAUAUAUUUUUUGGAUAUAACAAACUUUGAGAAAAUUAUGAAUUUGAGGAAAUCAUGGUGAAUUUAGUUAAAAAACAUACGAAAAGCACUUAAGGAAUUGUACCUAAGUUUUCUCCUUGACGAAAAAAUAAAGCGUGCAUAUGAAAUGACAAGCAUAAAGCAUAUCCAAUUUCUUGCUAAAUGUUUCUUAUUAAAUUUAGUGUUUGUUUGGUAUUACGAUGGACAGUGGCGGAGCCAGACAAAAAAGUUUGGGGUGGCUGCUAUUAAAAAAACUUGAGGAAAAAUCGGGAAAAAAUACAAAG